rnacentral:rRNA from 1 species
CCUACGGGAGACAGCAGUGAGGAAUAUUGGUCAAUGGACGCGAGUCUGAACCAGCCAUGCCGCGUGAAGGAUGACGGCACAAUGAGUUGUAAACUUCUUUUGUCAGGGGAUAAAGUCCGGUACGAGUCCCGGGUUGAGGGUACCUGACGAAUAAGCAUCGGCUAACUCCGUGCCAGCAGCCGCGGUAAUACGGAGGAUCCGAGCGUUAUCCGGAUUUAUUGGGUUUAAAGGGUGCGUAGGCGGUUUGUUAAGUUAGAGGUGAAAUGUCGGGGCUCAACCCCGAAAGUGCCGUUGAAACUGGCGGACUAGAGAAUAGUAGAGGUAGGCGGAAUGCGUGGUGUAGCGGUGAAAUGCUUAGAGAUCAUACAGAACACCGAUUGCGAAGGCAGCUUACCGAACUAAAACUGACGCUGAGGCACGAAAGCGUGGGUAGCAAACAGGAUUAGAUACCCGUGUAGUC